rnacentral:rRNA from 1 species
CUACGGGCGGCUGCAGUGAGGAAUAUUGCACAAUGGGGGGAACCCUGAUGCAGCAACGCCGCGUGGAGGAUGACGCAUUUCGGUGUGUAAACUCCUUUUAUAUGUCAAGAAAAUGACGGUAGCAUAUGAAUAAGCACCGGCUAACUCCGUGCCGGCAGCCGCGGUAAUACGGAGGGUGCAAGCGUUACUCGGAAUCACUGGGCGUAAAGGACGCGUAGGCGGGUUGGAAAGUCGGGUGUGAAAUCCUACAGCUUAACUGUAGAACUGCACUUGAAACUUCUAAUCUAGAGUAUGGGAGGGGGAGAUGGAAUUAGUGGUGUAGGGGUAAAAUCCGUAGAUAUCACUAGGAAUACCUAAAGCGAAGGCGAUCUCCUGGAACAUUACUGACGCUAAGGCGUGAAAGCGUGGGGAGCAAACAGGAUUAGAUACCCGGGUAGUC